rnacentral:tRNA from 1 species
GCCGGUGUGGUGAAAUUGGUAUACACGACGGAUUCAAAAUCCGUUGCCUUCGGGCGUGGCGGUUCAAGUCCGCCCCCCGGGACCA